GUGAAGCUCCGGUUUCUGGGCUGUCCUGACUGGUAUAAGAGCUGAGUACACUGCCGGCAGCAUCACUCUCAGCCUGUGAUAGGAGGAGUAAUAUCGGCGGACGGUGACACGAUGAGACUCUGCGUUGGGCUUCUGAUGAUUUGGGCUCUGGUGAUGCCUGGAAAUUCUGCUCCAUAUGAGAAGGACAAUGAGUCCAACGAUGAUAGACCCCAGAAAAACGAUAAUGAUGAUGAUAAAGAUGAUGACAAUGAUGACGAUGACAAUGAUGACAAUGGAGAAGACAGGGAGUGGGAAAAAAAAUCUACAACCAUGAAAAUGAAUGUACAAACAACAACACAAUAUAAAGAAAAUAACAUUGAUUUGCCUGGCAAGCUAUGUCUGGGGUGUAUCAAUGACAUGAUGAAAAACCUAACAAAACCAACCAUAAAAUAAUAAAAGGUUAAUAAAGAUACAU